CAUGAACAUUCGCCACCAUUCCUGAAUGCAACAGCCUCUCCAUUCCAGUAUGUGGACACCAGCUCAGGAGAGGUGAAAAAAAAAAAUGGAAAUGCAUGACAGAUUACCCUAAUGCAGAAUUUCCUAGUGACUUUCCCAGGUAUAUAUCCAGCCCAAAGACAGACAGACAGUCAGGGCUACAUGGUCUUUUGAUCUGAAGAAGACACUUGAGAGAACUCAUCUUUGAAGAACCCCCUGCUCGGCGUGGCAGCGCCCCACGGAAGGCCUGGCCAGCGUGCCCGCCCGGUGCGGCUCCGUCCUUCUCAGCAUGCGCAGAACCGCCCCUCACCCAGAGCAUAUUAGCAUUCAUGGCCAAGCAGCCACCAAAAUGACAAAGAAACAGACUCACGUCCACAUAAAAGUCUGAGUCUAAUUUCAGUAUUUGAUUUUCUCAGAUGCAAAUAUCUUGAUAAUUGAGUUGCCUGAUUUUAUGCUUAAAAUUAAAAAAAAAUCCCAUAAUGUCAUAACAAAA